rnacentral:rRNA from 1 species
UGAGGAACCUGCCCUGUAGACUGGAAUAACCAUGGGGAACUGUGGCUAAUGCCGGAUAGGACCGUUCACCGCAUGGUGAGGGGUGGAAAUGGGUUUCCGCUACGGGAUGGCCUCGCGGCCUAUCAGCUUGUUGGUGUGGUGAUGGCCUACCAAGGCGACGACGGGUAGCUGGCGUGAGAGCGCGACCAGCCACACUGGGACUGAGACACGGCCCAGACUCCUACGGGAGCAG